GUGGAAGUGACAGGAGCUCAGCAUCCCUGUA
rnacentral:piRNA from 2 species